rnacentral:rRNA from 1 species
CCUACGGGAGGCAGCAGUGGGGAAUAUUGGGCAAUGGGCGAAAGCCUGACCCAGCCACGCCGCGUGAGUGAUGAAGGCCUUCGGGUCGUAAAGCUCUGUGGGGAGGGACGAAACAACCUCGGGAAUAAUACCCCGGGGUCCUGACGGUACCUCCUUAGCAAGCACCGGCUAACUCCGUGCCAGCAGCCGCGGUAAUACGGAGGGUGCAAACGUUGCUCGGAAUUACUGGGCGUAAAGCGCACGUAGGCGGUCUGCUGGGUCCGAUGUGAAAGCCCUCGGCUCAACCGAGGAAGUGCAUUGGAAACUGGCAGGCUCGAGUACGGAAGAGGGUCGCGGAACUCCCGGUGUAGAGGUGAAAUUCGUAGAUAUCAGAUAGAACACCAAGGGCGAAGGCAGCUCGCUGGCCCAAUACUGACGCUAAAGCACGAAAGCGUGGGGAGCAAACAGGAUUAGAUACCCCUGUAGU